UGGAAAUGACAAUGAAGCUGUUCAGCUGCCUGGUUCACUUGGUUCCCCCCUCAUGAUGGCUCUGUGCCAGGGUCAAGAAGGCCUGAAUUUACCCACCUUCAGUGACAUGCCAAAGGAAGAGGGAAGCUCCCAAGGUCAGGGGUAUUUUGCUUGGAGCCAUCAGAUGCUCUCCCAAGCCUGCUGCCGUGGGUAACUGGCUUGCAGCAGCCAUGGUGUGCAUCCUCCCACCUCUCCUGCAAGAUCAGGAAUGCGAAUCCAUAGCUGUCCCCACCUCCGGAGUCACCUAACACGGGCUCAGGACCCAGGGCCUGAAUGGGAUUGGAGGGGUGCUAGGUCUGGCUCCCACAUGUCCAGUGUUCCUCCAGAGACGUAGCCACAUUCUGAGAUGUAGUUAGAUUUGAAGAGACUGUAUCGAUCCCUUUGGACCAGGGAACGUUGGGAUAUCCAUGCUGGAUGGGUCUCAGGUGACAGCGUCUCUGGAGACUCUUCUCGGCAAGUCCUCCCUCCCCUUCUGCGGUUGCCUUCCUCCCUCCAGCCUCAUAGCAUCCCUGAAGCUUAAGACUGUCUUUAUCCCUGUUUUACAAGAGAGGAAGCUGGAACCCAGAGGUAAAGUAACCUACUCCCAAGUUCACCUCACCUGAAGAUCUCCCAGCAAGGGUUCAGCCCCAGCUGGCCCCCUUCAGGAGCCCAUUCUCUUCCCACUCCAGCACAAGGCCUCCUAUGGAGGGCGCCACGCCGGGGAAAUGGCCUUUGCUUUCCACAGACUGCAGAAGCCCAGACCGCAGAGGGAGAGAUUGACACUGUAAUUAUAUUAAAAUGUAAAAAUCCUUGUUCAUCAAAAGACUCCAUAAAUAAAGUGCGAAGACAGGCCACCGACUGGCAGAAGAUAGUAGCAACAGGCCCAGGAUUAGAGCUCCCACAAAUCAGUAAGAACGACACAGACGGUACAAUGGAAACACAGGCCGGAGAUACAAAGGCAAUUCACAAGAGAGGAAAUGCAAGCGACCAGAGAAAUGAUGAAAACAUUUCAGCCCCACUGAUCAGAGACAUACAAAUUAAAAACACCAAUGAGAGGCAUUUGGCCCCCAUCAGAGAGGCAUAAAUUCCAAAGUCUGACAAUUGCUAGCAUGAGUCUGGAUGUGAAGCGACAGAAGCUGGCCAGCCUUUCAGAUGCGGUCAGGCGAUGGCGAGUGAACUGGAAGGAGAUCACGUGCCCGCGACCCCUCCCCAGGCACACGCGGGAGACAUGUGCAAGGACGUUCUUGGCAGUGAGGCUUGCCUGAUGGAAAACUGGAAAUGGCUCAAAUGCCCAUCAACAGGAGAAUAGACUAAUACAUCGUAGCACAUACGUGCAAUGAAAUGGAUUAGAACAGUGGCAAUGUAUGUACUGAGCUCUGCACAUGACGUGGAUAAAUUUCAAACAAAAUGUUGAAAGAAAACAAGCAAGUUGCAGAAGGCUAUAUGUACAAUAUUAUAUCACUUACAGAAACUUAAAAAAUCUGCAAAGCAAUACAUUACAUGUUUUAUGGAUGUAUACAUAUAUAGCAUAAACAUAAAAAUAUGUAUAAGAAUAAUUCACGCCAACCUCAGGGAACGGGGUGGUGACUGUCUCUGGGCAAGAGGGUGGGGAACAGGCUGAGACGCUCCUACUUACUUGCGCUGUCUUAUUCCACAAUCUAGGUCCUGGGAACAUGGGAGCUAUGUGUACUUUUCCCUAUAGUUUUCAUACGUUGAAUGUUUAAUUUUUUUCAGACAACGGCUCCAAGGUCAGUUGUCUCCCGGGUCACUGAUCACUGUUAGCCACUGCUCCUAAUUCUGUUCCUUGAGGAUCCCGUGUGGUUGUGCAGGCUGGCAACUGCAGAGAGGAGGCUGAAUCUCCCAGCCACCCCCUCUGUUACCACCCCCUCCGCCCCUCACCACCCCUCCAGUCUUUAAAGCAGAUGGCUUUCACACAGCAUGUUCUUUUCUGUGGAAAGUCCUUGAGAAGCCCAGACGCAAAGGAGGCUCAAAGAAAUCCCACCACAUUUGUCAGUGGCGUUCUCUCUGCUAACCACGGACUAGGCUCAACAAGGGAUGCUCAGUGGGAAGUACUGAGCUGGGUGUCAGGACAUCUGCUGUUGAUUUGCUGGGUGACUCUGGGUGACUCUGGGUAAGGGAUAAACCUCUCUCAGCCUCGGUGUCUCUACUGAGGUGCACUGAGUGAAAGGUGUGCUCUAACGUGAUGGUUCCAAGCCUAGAAGCAUUAGAAUGACAUCCGAUUGUAGUGGCCCCGUAAUCAGAACUGCCUGCGGUGGGGCCCUGGAACCGUGUUUCUGUUGAAUUGCCAGGUGAUUCCAAUGCCCGGGCAAGUUUGGGAAUCAGCCGGUCAUUCCAGGUUGGGCACUCACAUAUGUGAGAAAACGCUGUCCACAUCGCCUUAUUUUCUCUCCCCAUCCCCAGUGCCUUCCUGCAUCCUUGUUAAUCAUCACCCUGAAUAGUUGAUGCCAAGCAGGGUGCUGGGUGAGAAUGAGGGAGCAGAUGAGCUUCCAGAAUGCGGCCCCUCUCAGCCUCCCACUCCUUAGUAACCGCAGGGAAGCUGAGAAAGAAGGCGGGGAGGAGGGGCAGGCACUCGCACCCCUCCGCAGGUGGAGGAGGGUCCGGUGGGGGGGGGGGGGGGACAGGACCCAUCUGCUGAAUUCCUGCCCCUCCACUCCAAGGCCUGGUGUCCCAGCCCCUGGAGGCAGUGCCUUCCUCCCUGCCCCCACCAUUGGCAAGGGCAGGAAUCACCCCAAAUCACAGAAUUCUGGAACGUCAGAGGCAGACCAAUCUUUUUCAGAUCAAAAGCAUUCACUGCCGUCUUAUCACCUGUACUAUUAUUUAAUUGCUACUUUCUUUUACAUUGACUCACUGUUUUUUUUUUACCUGAAUGCCUACUUUAGCCCCAUUCUAAGCAAUAAUAUCUGUGAAAUAACAGGUUUGAUGUGCUAGUUAUUUUUUGUCUAAUACACAUUAAAAUAAAUACAUAAUGAUUUCCAUUUUAAAACGUCCA